rnacentral:rRNA from 1 species
GACGAACGCUGGCGGCGUGCCUAAUACAUGCAAGUAGAACGCUGAAGCUUGGUGCUUGCACCGAGCGGAUGAGUUGCGAACGGGUGAGUAACGCGUAGGUAACCUGCCUGGUAGCGGGGGAUAACUAUUGGAAACGAUAGCUAAUACUGCAUAAGAGUAGAUGUUGCAUGACAUUUGCUUAAAAGGUGCAAUUGCAUCACUACCAGAUGGACCUGCGUUGUAUUAGCUAGUUGGUGAGGUAACGGCCCACCAAGGCAACGAUACAUAGCCGACCUGAGAGGGUGAUCGGCCCAACCGGGAAUGAGACACGGCCCAGAACCCUAAGGGAGGCAGCAGGAGGGAAUCUUCGGCAAUGGACGGAAGGCUGACCGAGCAACGACGCGUGAGUGAAGAAGGUUUUCGGAUCGUAAAGACCCGUUGUAAGAGAAGAAAGAGUGUGAGAGUGGAAAGCUCACACUGUGACGGUACCUUACCAGAAAGGGACGGCUAACUACGUG